rnacentral:rRNA from 1 species
UUUUAAAUUAAAUAUUUAAAUUAUAAAAAUAGGAUAAUUAAUGAGAGUUAUAUUAUGUUAAAUUAUUUUAAAUCUUGUCAUAAAUGAUUAAAUUAAAAAUGAACUGAAACAUCUUAGUAAUUAUAAAAUAACAACUUGAAAGUAAAGGCGAUUGAAAUCAUUAAUUUUUUUUUUGGGUUUACAAAAAAUUAAAAUUAAUUAUAUCUAUAGAAUAAGUACUGUGAAGGAAAUUAAUAAAUAAUUUAUAAUAAAAAAUGAAAAUCAUUUACCUUUUGUAUAAUGGGCUUAUAAAAUAAUAAUUAGCAAGCUAUAAGGCUAAAUAAUUUGUAAAGUUAAUUAUUCCCGAAACUUAACGAUCUAAUUGUGAAUAAUUUAUAGAAUGAACCAGUAAAUGAUAAAAAUUUUUGGAUAAUUUGCAAUUGGCAGUGAAAAACUAAUCGAGUUAAGAGAUAGCUGGUUUUUCAUGAAAUUUAUAUAAGUAAUUUUUUAAAAAUAAAAAACAGUUAUUUAAUGCAAAGAUUAUUUAACGAGUAAAAAACAAUUUAUAUCCAACAUCAAUGAACCUUAUAAAUAUUUUAAAAAUAAGUUUAUGAUUUAAACAAAAAGUAAAUAAGCUUAGAAUCAGCUAUAUUUUAAAAAUUACGUAAAACUUUACUUUAGAAAAAUUAUAAUUUUAUAAUAUAGUUAAUUAUUAUCAUUUUUGUGGAAAAUAGUAAUGAAAUUUCUUUUAUAAAAAUAUGAAAAUUUUAAAAGAGUAAUAAUAUAAGCAUGAGUAAAAUUAAAUUUAUCCUAGUUUAUUCUUAAUUUAAUUAUUUGAUUAAGGUAAUACAAUUUCUCAGAAUAUAAGGAAUAUAUUAGAAUAUAAAUCAAGAAAAAUUUAAUAAUUAUUUUGUAAAAAUCUAAAUCAAGUUGGGAUAAAUAAUAAAUUAACUUUUUUUUAAGGAACUCGGCAAAAUAAAAUAUCGACUGUUUACCAAAAACAUAGCCCUCUAAAAUAUUGAAGGUGAAACCUGCCCAAUGAUAUAAAAAUAAUUAUAACCUAAUUUAAAUAGUAUUAAAUGGAUGCAGUAACUCUGACUGUAAUAAAGUAGCAUAAUUAGUUGUCAUUUAAUUGAUGGAGAGAAUGAAUGGUUACACGAAUAUUUCACUGUCUUAAAAAAAAUUUUUUAAAAUUGAAAUAAUAGUUAAGAUGCUAUUUAAAAUUGUAAGACGAAGAGACCCUAUAGAGCUUUACUAUAAAUUUUUUUUUUAAAUAGAUAAUAAAAAAAUUAUCUUAUUCAGAAAGUUUGGUAGUUUAGUUGGGGCGACUGUUUUUUAAAAAUAACAAAAAUAAGCAAUAUAAUAAAUUUAUUUAUUGUAUAAUUAAACAAUUUAACAAUUACUAUAGUAGGCUAUAAUGACCCGUUAUUAUGAUAAACAACAAAUAACGAUUAAUUAAUAAAAGCUACCUUAGGGAUAACAGGAUAAUUUUGUUUUAGAGUCCUUAUCAAAAACAAAGUUUGUCACCUCUAUGUUGAAUUAAGAUAUCCUAAUAAUGCAGUAGUUAUUGAGGGUAGGUCUGUUCGACCUUUAAAAUCUUACAUGAUUUGAGUUCAUUCCGUCGUNAGACAGGAAGGUUUCUAUCUACAAUUAUAAAAUUACUUUAGACUUUUAGUACGAAAGGAAUAAAGUUUCAUCUAGUUAAUUAAAAAAACUAUUAAAAAAAUUUUGAAUGAAUCUAAAAAUUUAAAGUAAUAAUUUAAUAA